rfam:Aspergillus bombycis strain NRRL26010 contig00006, whole genome shotgun sequence.
GGUUGUGUAGUGUAAUGGUUAGCACCCAGGAUUCUGAUUCCUGUAAUCCCGGUUCGAUCCCGGGCACGACCU